rnacentral:rRNA from 1 species
AUGGACACGGCCACCUUGCUCCCGGUGGCGCUGGCCCUCCUGGCCAUCCCCGUCACGGCGCUCCUCCUCAACCGGCUCCGCUUCGGCAGGCUGCCCCCGGGGCCGCGCCCGUGGCCGGUGCUGGGCAACCUCUUCCAAAUCGAGCCCGUGCGCUGCCGGUGCUUCGCCGAGUGGGCGGCCCGGUACGGGCCCAUCAUGACGGUCUGGUUCGGCUCGACGCCGAUGGUGGUGGUGUCCACGCCGGAGCUGGCGCAGGAGGUGCUCAAGACCCACGACCAGCACCUGGCCGACCGCUCGCGGAACCGCUCCUCGGAGCGCUUCAGCCGCGGCGGCAUGGACCUCAUCUGGGCCGACUACGGCCCGCACUACAUCAAGGUGCGCAAGUUCUGCAACCUCGAGCUCUUCACGCCGCGCCGCCUCGAGGCGCUCCGCCCCGUCCGCGAGGACGAGGUCACCGCCAUGGUCGAGUCCGUGCACAGGGCCGGCAAGGAAGGGAAGCCGGUGGCGGUGCGGGAGUUCCUGGCCACGGUGGGCUUCAACAACAUCACGCGCCUGGCCUUCGGGAAGCGGUUCCUGAACGCGGCAGGCGAGCUGGACGAGCAAGGGCGCGAGUUCAAGGAGAUCGUCAACAAUGGGAUCAAGAUCGGCGCGUCGCUGUCCAUCGCCGAGCACAUCCGGUGGCUCCGGUGGCUCACGCCCGUCGACGAGGUGGCCUAUCAAGCCCACGGCGACAGGCGCGACCGGCUCACCGUCAAGAUCAUGGAGGAGCACGCCAGGGCCCUGGAGCGGAGCGGCACCAGCAAGCAGCAUUUCGUGGACGCGCUCUUCACGCUCCGGGACAAGUACGACCUCAGUGACGACACCGUCAUUGGCCUCCUCUGGGACAUGAUCACCGCCGGCACGGACACGACAGUGAUAACCGUGGAGUGGGCGGUAGCGGAGCUGGUGAGGAACCCGAUGGUGCAGCAGAAGGUGCAGGAGGAGCUGGACCGGGUGGUCGGCCGCGACCGGGUGCUGUCGGAGACGGACUUCCCCAACCUGCCCUACCUGCAGGCCGUCGUGAAGGAGUCGCUCCGGCUGCACCCGCCGACGCCGCUGAUGCUCCCGCACAGGGCCAGCGCCGCCGUGAAGGUCGCCGGCUACGACAUCCCCAAGGGAGCCAGCGUCACGGUGAACGUGUGGGCGAUCGCGCGCGACCCCAAGGCGUGGGACAGCCCGCUCGAGUUCCGCCCCGAGCGCUUCCUCCACGACAACAUCGACAUCAAGGGCUGCGACUACCGCGUGCUGCCCUUCGGCGCCGGCCGCCGGGUGUGCCCCGGCGCGCAGCUCGGGAUCAACCUCGUGGCGUCCAUGAUCGGGCACCUCCUGCACCACUUCACCUGGGCGCUGCCGGACGGGACCCGGCCGGAGGACCUUGACAUGAUGGAGUCCCCCGGGCUCAUCACCUUCAUGCGCACGCCGCUGCAGGUCGUCGCCACGCCGCACCUCGAAAAGGAAGAGCUCUACAAGCGGGUGGCCGCUGAGAUGUGA